rnacentral:rRNA from 1 species
GACGAACGCUGGCGGCGUGCUUAACACAUGCAAGUCGAACGGAAAGGCCCUGCUUUUGUGAGGUGCUCGAGUGGCGAACGGGUGAGUAACACGUGAGUAACCUGCCCUUGACUUUGGGAUAACUUCAGGAAACUGGGGCUAAUACCGGAUAGGAGCUCCUGCUGCAUGGUGGGGGUUGGAAAGUUUCGGCGGUUGGGGAUGGACUCGCGGCUUAUCAGCUUGUUGGUGGGGUAGUGGCUUACCAAGGCUUUGACGGGUCGCCGGCCUGAGAGGGUGACCGGCCACAUGGGGACUGAGAUACGGCCCAGACUCCUACGGGAGGAAGCAGUGGGGAAUAUUGCACAAUGGGCGGAAGCCUGAUGCAGCAACGCCGCGUGCGGGAUGACGGCCUUCGGGUUGUAAACCGCUUUCGCCUGUGACGAAGCGUGAGUGACGGUAAUGGGUAAAGAAGCACCGGCUAACUACGUG